CAUUCAUCACCGCCGGGUGAAAAUGCUGAAAGCAUUUGUCUGUACAUCGUCAGGCCUAAGAAGAUGUACCGACAAGUGCUUUUCUUU
rnacentral:ncRNA from 1 species